AUUCCAGCUCCAAUAGCGUAUAUUUAAGUUGUUGCGGUUAAAAAGCUCGUAGUUGGAUUUCGGGCGUGGGGGUUCGGUCCGCCGUUUCGGUGUGCACUGUCUUUCUGCGUCUUUCUGUCGGGGACGCGCUUCUGGCCUUAAUUGGCUGGGACGUGGAUUCGACGAGGUUACUUUGAAAAAAUUAGAGUGUUCAAAGCAAGCUAAAGCUCUGAAUACAUUAGCAUGGAAUAACGCGAGAGGACUCGGUCCUUAUUUUGUUGGUCUUCAAGGAUGGAGUAAUGAUUAAGAGGGACAGUUGGGGGCAUUCGUAUUUCAUUGCUAGAGGUGAAAUUCUUGGAUUUAUGAAAGACGAACUUCUGCGAAAGCAUUUGCCAAGGAUGUUUUCAUUG
rnacentral:rRNA from 1 species